rnacentral:lncRNA from 1 species
AGCUUUUUAAGAUGGACUCCCUUGUCUCAAGCCAAGUUUUCAAAACCAGUUUUAUAGAUUGGUUUUCAAAAUCCAAUCUCACAAAACAAGGAAAGGAACGAAUUGAACCUUGCAGCAAUCAUUCAAUUGAAUAAUUCCAACAAUUCCAACAAUUGAACCUAAUCAAUCAUUCUCAAAGUUUUGAUGGAGAGAAAUUGCAGAUCUAACUAGUGAAUUUGAGAGAAAAAAGAUGAACAAGAAUAUAAACACAGCGACAGUGAAGCUUUGGCAUGGUGGUGGCUGUUG